rnacentral:SRP_RNA from 1 species
GCCAGGUGUGGUGGCAUGCGCCUGUAGUCCCAGCUACUUGGAGGCUGAGGCAGGAGGAUUGCUUGAGCCUAGAGAGGCUGCAGUGAGCUGUGGUUGUGCUGCUGCACUCCAGCCUGGGCAACAGAGCGAGAUCCUGUCUCAA